AGUGAACGCUGGCGGUAGGCCUAACACAUGCAAGUCGAACGGCAGCACAGUAAGAGCUUGCUCUUACGGGUGGCGAGUGGCGGACGGGUGAGGAAUACAUCGGAAUCUACUUUUUCGUGGGGGAUAACGUAGGGAAACUUACGCUAAUACCGCAUACGGCCUACGGGUGAAAGCAGGGGAUCUUCGGACCUUGCGCGAUUGAAUGAGCCGAUGUCGGAUUAGCUAGUUGGCGGGGUAAAGGCCCACCAAGGCGACGAUCCGUAGCUGGUCUGAGAGGAUGAUCGGCCACACUGGAACUGAGACACGGUCCAGACUCCUACGGGAGGCAGCAGUGGGGAAUAUUGGACAAUGGGCGAAAGCCUGAUCCAGCCAUACCGCGUGGGUGAAGAAGGCCUUCGGGUUGUAAAGCCCUUUUGUUGGGAAAGAAAAGCAGCAGGUUAAUACCCCGCUGUUCUGACGGUACCCAAAGAAUAAGCACCGGCUAACUUCGUG
rnacentral:rRNA from 1 species